rnacentral:rRNA from 1 species
UACGGGAGGCAGCAGUGGGGAAUAUUGCACAAUGGGCGCAAGCCUGAUGCAGCCAUGCCGCGUGUAUGAAGAAGGCCUUCGGGUUGUAAAGUACUUUCAGUCGUGAGGAAGGUGUUAAGGUUAAUAACCUUAGCAAUUGACGUUAGCGACAGAAGAAGCACCGGCUAACCUCCGUGCCAGCAGCCGCGGUAAUACGGAGGGUGCGAGCGUUAAUCGGAAUUACUGGGCGUAAAGGGCACGCAGGCGGUUAAUUAAGUUGGAUGUGAAAUCCCCGGGCUUAACCUGGGAAUGGCAUUCAAGACUGGUUAGCUAGAGUCUUGUAGAGGGGGUAGAAUUCCAUGUGUAGCGGUGAAAUGCGUAGAGAUGUGGAGGAAUACCGGUGGCGAAGGCGGCCCCUGGACAAAGACUGACGCUCAUGUGCGAAAGCGUGGGGAGCAAAC